AUUGAACGCUGGCGGCAUGCUUUACACAUGCAAGUCGAACGGUAACAGGGAGCUUGCUCCGCUGACGAGUGGCGAACGGGUGAGUAAUGCGUCGGAACGUGCCGAGUAGUGGGGGAUAACGCAGCGAAAGUUGUGCUAAUACCGCAUACGUACUGAGGUAGAAAGUGGGGGACCUUCGGGCCUCACGCUAUUCGAGCGGCCGACGUCUGAUUAGCUAGUAGGUGAGGUAAAGGCUCACCUAGGCGACGAUCAGUAGCGGGUCUGAGAGGAUGAUCCGCCACACUGGGACUGAGACAAGGCCCAGACUCCGACGGGAGGCAGCAGUGGGGAAUUUUGGAAAAGGGGCGAAAGACUGAGCCAGCCAUGCCGCGUGUCUGAAGAAGGCCUUCGGGUUGUAAAGGACUUUUGUCGGGGAGGAAAUCCCCAGCGCUAAUACCGAUGGGGGAUGACAGUACCUGAAGAAUAAGCACCGGCUAACUACGUGCCAGCAGCCGCGGUAAAAC
rnacentral:rRNA from 1 species